CGCGUAGGUGGUUUGUUAAGUCGGAUGUGAAAGCCCCGGGCUCAACCUGGGAAUUGCAUUCGAUACUGGCAGACUAGAGUAUGGUAGAGGGAAGUGGAAUUCCGGGUGUAGCGGUGAAAUGCGUAGAUAUCCGGAGGAACAUCAGUGGCGAAGGCGGCUUCCUGGACCAAUACUGACACUGAGGUGCGAAAGCGUGGGUAGCAAACA
rnacentral:rRNA from 1 species